ACCAACUGCUAGUUCUGUGUAAGUGUCCUUUCUCAAUAGUCACGAUUUAAAUUUAAUCUUGCAGUUCAUAAUUUGAUUUUCAUUUUCCUCAAAGCUCUACUGAAGGUGUUGUGUUAGACUAUGAUGGCAUCGAUAGGUCACUGAAACAAAAGUCAGUGACCUCUGAAAGUUCUGGGUUUCCUGUGAAAUUAGCUAGGUUGUUUCAGAGCACCUGGAAUUUUACUGUUACUUAAAAAUAAGCAAGCAAAAUCCUUUAACAACUCAAGAAGGAAAAAGCUACUUUGUGUGGGGAGUGAGUCUCUAAAGGUCAGUGGAGGAGUAGGGACGUCCUCUGAAGAGGCUGCCAGCUAGCAUUAAUUUUUGCUGUAUAAAAUCUUCUUGAAGCUGUGUAUGUCCUGAUUCCGUUAAUUGCUAUGGUGAUGCUACAAAAAGCAUUUCAAACUCUCAAACUCUUUUUUGAAAAAGCCCCUUUGAAAAGGCCUUUUAAUGUGACUUCUUCCUAACAUUUUUGGCACUUGUUACUAAUAAGAUUAUUUCUAAUAAAUCUUCCUUCUUUAGUCAAAGUUAGUCCUUAGAUGAUUUUAUUAUUACUAUUAUUAAUAAUCCUCUUGUGUGUGAGUAGUAGCUAGGAUACUACAUUAAUGACAAAAUGUCUGAGGGAUUGCUUGCAGAUCUCAGUGGGAGAAUUAAGGGAUGGACACAUCCUUGAACUGUAUUCCAGGUGGUAGUAAUUGUCACAAUGCAUCAUUGUCUGUGACUGGUGGCUAUUCUGGUACUGACAAAAUUCAAAA